rnacentral:lncRNA from 1 species
UGCAUGCUGGAAAAUGGUCUGUCUUUAAAGAAAAUACCUGCUUUGCAAGAAUAUUCCAUCUCAUCUCUUGCAACUUUUUCUCAAAAACAUCCUUUAUUUCUGAAGGGAUGAAAGUUGGGGGCCACACACGACUUCCCCACCCAUUGGCUGGUUGCCCUCUAGCGAUGGAACUUAGUAAGGCCUCUUCCCUUGAGACUGGACACCCCACCAGGCCAGUGAGAGCACAGGACACAGGUGCCCAGACUCGGCCAGCGGCAAAGUAUAGAUGGAGUGAUAUUAACCCAGUAUCACUGUCUAGCCCAGGCACAUAGAUUCCAGAUUCUGUCUGGGGGGUAUUCAGGAGGUGUCUAACACAUCAUCAAGAGCCUGUGUGUUUUCAGGAUGCUCUGCAGAAUCUUCUGCCCUCACACCUUCAUCAGUGUCCUCUGCCCGAGGAGUUCCUUAAAAAUCUUCAGCAUCACUGCUCCUGCCAGUGCCCCGUUCAGUGAGGGCCUGAGCGAUGGUGCCCAGGGUUCUGUCUUCUAGCAUCUGCGGGCCCCUGGCCUCAGAACCCUGCAGCCAAGUGGGAUACAUGCUGCCCUCCCCAUUCUGCACAGCACCUUGGCCCUGAGGUAGCCUGCCUGUACCUCGCAUCACCCAGCAUCCCUGGAACAAGCAUCUGUUUUCCGUAGUCCUUCUCUACAUAGAGCUGGACAAGAAACAGGCCUAUGAAGUCCUUGGGAUUCCCUGAUUCCGGAAUCCAACACUAAGGACCUGCUCCAUGCAAAAGGCAAUGGUGAGGCUGUCUCACCAAGACAGCCACCCAAACAGCCCCUGGUCUUCCAUCAAAACCAGCACCCUCCACAACAGCCAAAAGGUGGAAAAAACCCAGGUGUCUGAAUAGAUGAACAAAAUGCUAUCCAACAAACACAGGGAAUAUUAUUCUGCCUUGAAAAAGGAAGGACAUUCUGACACAUGCUACAACAUGCAUGAAGCUUGAGGACAUUAUGCUAAGCGAAGUAAGCAAGUCACAAAGGGACGGAUACUGUAUGAGUGCACUUACAGGAGGCACCUAGAGUAGUCAAAUUCAUAGAAACAGAGAGAAGAAUGGUGGCUGCCAAGCAGAGGAGGAAGGGCAAUGGGAGUUGUGUGAUGGGUACAGAUGAUGAAAGAUGAAAAGAGUUCUGGAGGUGGAUGGUGGUGAUGGUUGCACAACACUGUGAGCGUAGUUAAUGCCACUAAACUUUGCACUUAAAAAUGGUUGAGAUGCCAGCCUGACCAACAUGGUGAAACCCCGCCUCUACUAAAAAUACAAAAAUUAGCCGGGUGUGGUGACGUGCGCUUGUAAUCCCAGCUACUCUAGAGGGUGAGGCAGGAGAAUCACUUGAACCCGGGAGGCGGAGGUUGCAGUGAGCCAAGAUUAUGCCACUGCACCCCAGCCUGGGCGACAGAGUGAGACUCCAUAUCAAAAAAAAAAAAAAAAAAAAAAAAGAUUGAGAUGGCCAAGUGUGGUGGCUCAUGCCGGUAAUCCCACACUCUGGGAGGCCGAGGCAGGUGGAUCACCUGGGGUCAGGAGUUUGAGAACAGCCUGGCCAACAUGGUGAAACCCCGUCUCUACUAAAAAUACAAAACUUAGCCGGGCAUGGUGGCGGGCACCUGUAAUCCCAACUACUUGGGAGGCUGAGGUAGGAGAAUCACUUGAACCCAGGAAGUGGAGGUUGCAGUGAGCCAAGACGGUGCCACUGCACUCCAGCCUGGGUGACAGAGUGAAACUCUGUCUC